ACCAGUGACACCAUUGACGCGAAACUGAGUUGACAUUCAGGAAGAAAUUCGUGACCUUGAGUAAAUUUGGCAGUAACGGGUAUCACUGGAGAUUCUUGGCUCGAGACAAGACGAGAAGUUUAGAAAAUAGGAGAGGUCGGGACUGGGAUGGAGAUUUGGAAGUCGUUUACGGACUAGCGCUUAUGAGGAUUGGGAUUUGCGAGCAACGGAAAUCUACCCCAGCGGGUUUAUGUAGAAAUUAAUUUACCAAAAUAAUAGUUCUUAAUUCACAGAGUCGCUGAGAAAUUGGGAGCACCCGGCAAAGAGGUCAUGCAUUCAGAAAGCAGCCAGCAAAAAGCCUUCUGCACCUGUUGUUGAGGGACCUCACUUACGCCCCUAACCCUGGGGGUGCAGGGCAUUGGGCAUCCCCAUUAGCCCCCUGGCCCUGCUGCCCCUGCAUACAGGUUGUGGACAGGUCUACUGCCCGGAAGCAUGCUCCACCAUCCUUGCUUUUUGUGUCAGGGUCCCAGUCACUGCGUCUAAUGGACAGAACACAGCCCAUUAGCCCACCAAGCAACCAGAAAAGCCGGGAGAAGGCGAUUGGAACUUCUGCAGCGGGACAGGCCUUUGCUUCUCACAGGAUGACUGCAGCGGGGAAGGGGGUUCAGACCCUGCAGCCCAUACCGCACGGGCUUAUCUCAGAGAGGAGCGUGGGCUGGAGGGGAGAAAAAGGCCGACAAGUUUGGCGGGGACCUGAGCCGGAUAGAACCUCCUCGUACAGGGCUACCUUCCCUUGCUUAGGGACCCCCAGGCACGUGUCCCUGCGUGGUGACAGCGACGGCCAGCAACAGUGCUAGACUCACAUCUCGCCAGCUAGUCGUCCCCCCACCCCACCAAGUGAAGCAGCGGGCUUUUUCACCAACAGCUCUAACGGUUGUGACCAAGGGGCUGCAGUGCCCCAAGUUCACAUGUGCCU